rnacentral:lncRNA from 1 species
GGCCCAGAGGUCACCUUGUGGACUUCAACCCAGGUUUGACCACAAUGCUCUUGGUCCACAUUCACCGGCUCCUUUUUAUUUAUUUUUUUUUUUAGACAGAGUCUCACUUUCUUGCCCAGGCUGGAGUGCAGUGGCGGCUUGGCUCACUGCAGCCUCCACUUCCUGGGUUCAAGUGAUUCUCCUGCCUUAGCCUCCCAAAUAGCUGGCACUACAGGCAUGCACCACCACACUCAGCUAAUUUUUAUAUUUUUAGUAGAGAAGGGGUUUUAUUACAUUGGCCAGGCUGUCCUUUUUUGGGGGGCAGGGGUGGGGCAGGAACAGAGUCUUGCUCUGUUGCCCAGACUGGAGUGCAGUGGCACCAUCUUGGCUCACUGCAACCUUCACCUUCCAGGUUCAAGCAAUCCUCCUGCCUCAGCUCCCCCUAGUAGGUGGGAUUACAGGCUUGUGCCACCUCACCUGGCCAAUUUUUGUAUUUUUAGUAGAGACAGGGUUUCUCCAUGUUGGCCUGGCUGGUCUCGAACUCCUGACCUCAGGUGAUCCACGUGCUUUGGCCUCUCAAAGUGCUGGGGUUACAGGCGUGAGCCACCGCACCCAGGCUUUUUUUUUUUUUUUUUUUAAUAUUAUAGGAUCCACCAAAGCUUCAGGUGGACCUGCUCAGGAUAACUCACAUGACCCCUCGACGCUGUACACAGCUUUAAAUCUGAACCCAAAUACACUCACCCAUUAUGCGAGCCACACUGCCGGUUUGAUGCAAAAAUCCCUGCAGAUUGUCAUCAGUCGUGGUUCACGCUGUGGUCACCGCAGCUGUUCUUUGUCAUUGCAGAAUUGCAACCCUGCAUGUCACUCUGGGACAUAUGGCCCUGGGCCUAUAAACUGCCACCAGGCCACCGACGGCUGCUCCUCACCGCCUGACAGUGAUGAUUAAACAUGGUCUAUUUAGAGGAGCCGUAAAGAAGCCAGAUAUCCCUCGCAGAGGAGCAGAGGGGCGCACAAACAAUGGGACAGAUUUUCCUGUCUCUCGGGAGAGUCACUCUCUCAUCUUUCACCGAGAGAAAAAAGUCAUGCAAUGAGAAUCUGGCAGGAGAACCCAAGGGGGGUUUCGGGGCAGGAGAGGCAGCCAGGACAUGGAUGUCCCCCCAACGCUUCCGCUGCCCGCGCUCCUACUUCAAGUGAAGAAAUGGAAAGCACUUUUAUUUCUUCUGAACUCCCGGCCUGUCCCGCUAGUUUCGUUCAUUUGCUGCUCUUGAAGGUAGGAAUCCCCCAGCCCCAAGACAGCCCACCCAGCAUGCCAGGCCUGUCCACAGUCUCCAUCCAGUUUCUGUGCCCUGGUACCCAAAUUUCAGAGUACACCUGCAGAAAGCCCCUAACUUCACCCAAGUCCACCCAAGGGCUCCACCAUCCUUCAGUCAUCUCCGGCGGAUUCCCUGCUGUGUUCCCUGGGGAAUUCCCUGGACUCUCCAACCUGCCCAGCCCUGCUGUUCUCCCCGUAGAUGGCCUGGCCUCUUCCCGCCAUGACCGUCCUCAACUUCCCUGUUCAUCAUUAACAUCAAACACCCAGAGACACCACAGCCAUGUGCAGACACUGCCUUGUUUACCCCACUCCUUACCCCAACUUCUGAAUUUUUUUCCUUCUCUUUUUCUCUCUCUUGGGAGAGGGCCUUUGUUCCUGAUCCUUUUCUCUCCCAUCUCCUGGAGGAUUUUUCGCCAUUCGGCUCCACCAGUCUUGCACUUUUAUUUAUUUAUUUUUUUUUAAUAGAGACAAGGGCCUCACUCUGCUGCCCAGUCUGUUCUCAAACUCCUGGCCUCAAGCGAUCCUCCCACCUUGGCCUCCGCAAGUGUUGGGAUUACAGGCGUAAGCCACCAUGCCUGGUCCUGUUUGGCACCUUUUAUCCUUGUCUUCACUCCAGUCACUCCUUCUCUUCUGCUUGAUAACUUGAUUGCAUCACUUCUAAUCUAAAAAACUUGAGAGCAACACUUUCACCCACUCAAUUUAUUAGUUUAUUACUUUAUGUAGACAGAGUCUCGCUCUGUCACCCAGGCUGGAGUGCAGUGGUAUAAUCGCAACUCGCUGCAACCUCCCUCUCCCAGGUUCAAGCAAUUCUCAUGCCUCAGACUCCCGAGUAGCUGGGACUACAGGCAUGGGCCACCAUACCUGGCUAAUUUUUGUAUUUUUAGUAGAGACAGGGUUUUGCCAUGUUGGCCAGGCUGGUCUUGAACUCCUGACCUCAAGUGAUCCACCCACCUCAGCCUCUCAAAGUGCUGGGAUUACAGGCAUGAGCCACCGUGCCUGGCCUCAUCCAUCAGUUUAAUACCCCAGUCUCUUCUCUGACAAAGAUUUCCAGGAUAAAUCUCCAGGACUUCUUCCUGUCUUCCAACAUGUGUUUUGCCCCUAACUGUCUGAUGCCUACUACUACCAUCUCACUGAAAUUCUUUUCCCAAGUCAAAAUAUCCACCUCCUUCUAAAAGCUAGUGAUCUCUUUAACCCUGAUUUCUGC